UACGGAGGGUACAAGCGUUAAUCGGAAUUACUGGGCGUAAAGCGCGCGUAGGCGGUUAAUUAAGUCAGAUGUGAAAGCCCUGGGCUCAACCUAGGAACUGCAUUUGAAACUGAAUAACUUGAGUAUGGUAGAGAAAGAUGGAAUUCCCAGUGUAGCAGUGAAAUGCGUAGAGAUUGGGAGGAAUAUCGAUGGCGAAGGCAGUCUUUUGGGCCAAUACUGACGCUGAGGUGCGAAAGCGUGGGGAGCAAACGGG
rnacentral:rRNA from 1 species